ACUCCUCCCGGUAGCU
rnacentral:tRNA from 5 species